GAUGAACGCUGGCGGCGUGCCUAAUACAUGCAAGUCGAACGCACAGACGAAGGUCUUUGCACCCUGAAGGUAAGGGGGGAAGGGGGGAGAAACAGGUGAUAAACUACCUAUAAGGCUGGGGUAAAUUCGUGGAAACAUAGCUAAAAACGGAAAAAAAUUUAAUGUGCAAGGUUACAAAGUGAAAGACGGCCUUGCUGUCACUUAUAGAUGGAUCCGCGGUGCAUUAGCUAGUUGGUAGGGUAACGGCUUACCAAGGCAACGAUGCAUAGCCGACUUGAGAGAGUGAUCGGCCACACUGGAACUGAGACACGGUCCAGACUCCUACGGGAGGCUGCAGUAGGGAAUCUUCCGCAAUGGGCGAAAGCCUGACGGAGCAACGCCGCGUGAGUGAUGAAGGUCUUCGGAUCGUAAAGCUCUGUUAUUAGGGAAGAACAUAUGUGUAAGGAACUGAUCUCAGCUUGACGGUACCUAAUCAGAAAGCCACGGCUAACUACGUG
rnacentral:rRNA from 1 species